rnacentral:lncRNA from 1 species
AAACAAACAAAACCCUGUCUUAGGGGUUUUACUAACAAACCAUUGAGAUAGUACAAAUGCUAGAGUUGGGUUUAAUUUUAAAAUGGCCAUUGGAGGCUGGAGAGAUGGCUCAUUGGUUAAGAGUACUGGAUGAGAAGCCAGAGUUCCCAGCACCCCCAUGGUGCCUCACAAACAUCUGUAAUUCCAAUUCCAGGGCAUCUGAUGCCCUCUAAUGGUCUUCAUGGCGCCAGGUAGGGCACGCAGACAUAAAUGCAGGCAAAAUACCCAUACACAUAAAAAGUCAGUUACUUGUUAAAUAAGCUACCAGUUAAAUAAUAUGUUAGCUAUGCAUCUAUAACUAUGCAGGUUAUUGACUCUGUAGCCAUGAUUGUCUUUUAAAUUCUUCUUUGGAAUGUGGUAAUUAAAACCCCAACACCCAAAUUAAUCAUUAAUAUGUAUUUGAGAACUACUUAUGUUUAUUUGUGCUAUUUUAAAGAUGAGAAGCAAAGAGGAGUCACCAUACACGCCACACUUAAACUAUUAGUCAGAUCAUUAAGAAAAAAUAUUAGCGGUGAAAAAUAAACAAACAAACCCAACAUCCAUAUAUGGUGGUGGUCUGCUCUGCCCCACAGUUUCAAUGGUGACAAAACAGAGUCAGGUCAAUAUUUCUCUCUUGCUUUCUCUUUUCUCCUUUCUCCUUUCUCCUUUCUCCUUUCUUUCUCCUUUCUCCUUUCUCCUUUCUCCUUUCUCCUUUCUCCUUUCUCCUUUCUCCUUUCUCCUUUCUCUUCUCUUCUCUUCUCUUCUCUUCUCUUCUCUUCUCUUCUCUUCUCUUCUCUUCUCUUCUUUUCCUUGCUUUUUUGUGACUAAAACUCAAAAUACGGUGUUUAUUUUUUGUUAUCUUUGAGCAUAUAUUCAAACUUCUAGUAAAUGUGCAUUAUUAUUUUUUAAAAAGCAACAUUAUAUAUACAUAUCUACACACACACACACACACACACAUACACACACACACACACACACACUGUUAUCAAAACAGUUCCUAUCCAUGUCUUCUCAUAUAAAGUACUAUGGGAAAUACACUCUUUGUAGUACACAUGACCACUCACAUGGCACUCAAGGCCGAGGUGGUGGCUGGUGUAUAAUAAGUGUAUGAAAACAACAAGAGCAUAUUAAACUUUUGUGCUGUUGUUGGUGUUUAUUGUUACAUCUAAGUCUCUCUGCCUUGAUUAUUUGAGAGAAGGAAGGGAUAACAGUUAAGUGUUAUAAGUCCAGACUUGAAACAGACAAGCACACAAACAGAUUUCCAUUCUCAAAGACUUGUGGCUCAGUGGAAAUGAACCAUCCCUUGAGAUUGCAAGAUCACAUGGCCAGAGCGACCCAAACUAAACAUAACUUGAUAAUGCUCACAGUUAAUUUUUACAGAAGAUCCAAGGUCAUUUUUCUUAUGCAUCAGUAAACAAAACACAGGAAGCAGCUGACAAACCACAGGCUGUUGCAGGAGGGUGGGUUAACAUUUUGAGGUUUUAUUGAAAGUGUUUGCUAUUAUACCAGAACUUUCUGCUUGCCUCAGCCUAGUCAGUGGGAAGAAAACCAAGUAGUCAGUUAAACUAAGAAAAGACAUCUACACCAAAAUGUGUCUAUCUUGAUUGAGAAAAGGGCUCUAUGGUUGAAUCCUACUAUUGCCUAUAAGCAGCAGGCUCAGUGAUAGAGAGAGAUGGCUUAGUGGUUAAGAGCAUCGGCUGCUCUUCCAGAUGUUGUGAGUUCAACACCCAGCAACCACAUGGUGGCUCACAACUACCUAUAAUAUCUGACUCUUCUGGCUGCAGGCAUACAUCCAGAUAGAGCACUCAUAUAAAAUAAACAAAAAAUAAGU